ACUCUAAGGAGACUGCCGGUGACAAACCGGAGGAAGGUGGGGAUGACGUCAAGUCAUCAUGGCCCUUACGGCCUGGGCUACACACGUGCUACAAUGGUCGGUACAAAGGGUUGCCAAGCCGCGAGGUGGAGCUAAUCCCAUAAAACCGAUCGUAGUCCGGAUCGCAGUCUGCAACUCGACUGCGUGAAGUCGGAAUCGCUAGUAAUCGUGAAUCAGAAUGUCACGGUGAAUACGUUCCCGGGCCUU
rnacentral:rRNA from 1 species